rnacentral:rRNA from 1 species
GAGUUUGAUCCUGGCUCAGAGCGAACGCUGGCGGCAGGCUUAACACAUGCAAGUCGAGCGGGCGUAGCAAUACGUCAGCGGCAGACGGGUGAGUAACACGUGGGAACGUACCUUUUGGUUCGGAACAACUGAGGGAAACUUCAGCUAAUACCGGAUAAGCCCUAACGGGGAAAGAUUUAUCGCCGAAAGAUCGGCCCGCGUCUGAUUAGCUAGUUGGUGAGGUAAUGGCUCACCAAGGCGACGAUCAGUAGCUGGUCUGAGAGGAUGAUCAGCCACACUGGGACUGAGACACGGCCCAGACUCCUACGGGAGGCAGCAGUGGGGAAUAUUGGACAAUGGGGGCAACCCUGAUCCAGCCAUGCCGCGUGAGUGAUGAAGGCCCUAGGGUUGUAAAGCUCUUUGUGCGGGAAGAUAAUGACGGUACCGCAAGAAUAAGCCCCGACUAACUUCGUGCCAG